UGGGGAAUAUUGCACAAUGGGCGCAAGCCUGAUGCAGCGACGCCGCGUGAGGGAUGACGGCCUUCGGGUUGUAAACCUCUUUCAGCAGGGAAGAAGCGCAAGUGACGGUACCUGCAGAAGAAGCGCCGGCUAACUACGUGCCAGCAGCCGCGGUAAUACGUAGGAUCCGAGCGUUAUCCGGAUUUAUUGGGUUUAAAGGGUGCGCAGGCGGGAUGUUAAGUCGGCGGUGAAAUUUUGCAGCUCAACUGUAAAAGUGCCUUCGAUACUGGCCUCCUUGAGUGUGGAUGAAGUAGGCGGAAUUUGUGGUGUAGCGGUGAAAUGCUUAGAUAUCACGAGGAACUCCGAUUGCGCAGGCAGCUUACUAAGCCACAACUGACGCUCAUGCACGAAGGCGUGGGGAUCAAACA
rnacentral:rRNA from 1 species